CGCGUAGGCGGCCUGCUAAGUCUGGAGUGAAAGUCCUGCUUUCAAGGUGGGAAGUGCUUUGGAUACUGGUGGGCUGGAGUGCAGGAGAGGAAAGCGGAAUUACCGGUGUAGCGGUGAAAUGCGUAGAGAUCGGUAGGAACACCAGUGGCGAAGGCGGCUUUCUGGACUGAAACUGACGCUGAGGCGCGAAAGCGUGGGGAGCAAACA
rnacentral:rRNA from 1 species